UCCCUGGUGGCUCAGAUGAUAAAGAAUCUGCCUGCAGUGCAGGAGAUGCAGGAUCGAUCCCUGGCUUGGGAA
rnacentral:tRNA from 1 species